CUUUUUUCCAUUCACAGUGGAGUCUCAGGAGGCUGUCAUGGGGAGCCGUCGAAGAGCUGUGAACAGGCGUUGCCAUGGGCAGGGGUCACAUUCCCAAGCACCCAGUCUGCGUAGAGAAGACGAUGUAAAUGUCCGAGCAGCCGACGCCCUUGCCUGCUCUGACACACUGCAUCCUCCGCUCUUCUUGGCCUCGCCGCACCUCAGCUCCUCAGCACCCUCAGCACCCUCAGCACCCUCAAUGUGAAAUGGAGCUAAUUGUCCUCAUCGGUCUUCACUGUUGAGGGGUUAUUUGAUGAUCAAAUGAAAGGCUCUGAAAAAGGCCACGGAAAAAUCCAGAGGCAAGGUAGCGUCCCCAUGGGCGGCUCAGUCCACUCCUCCCUCAGCCUGGACACAGACGAGGC
rnacentral:lncRNA from 1 species